GGAUUGCAGGCUGCAACCCGCCUGCAUGAAGUCGGAAUUGCUAGUAAUCGCAGAUCAGCAUGCUGCGGUGAAUACGUUCCCGGGCCUUGUACACACCGCCCGUCACACCAUGGGAGUCGGUAACACCCGAAGUCGGUAGCCUAACCGUAAGGAGGGCGCCGCCGAAGGUGGGAUUGAUGACUGGGGUGAAGUCGUAACAAGGUACC
rnacentral:rRNA from 1 species